AUUUAACGCUGGCGGCAGGCCUAACACAUGCAAGUCGAACGAGUGGCGGACGGGCGAGUAAUGCCUGGGAAACUGCCUGAUGGAUGGUGAUAACUACUGGAACCGGUAGCUACUACCGCAUACCAUCGGAUGUGCCCAGGUGGGAUUAGCUAGUAGGUGGGGUAACGGCUCACCUAGGCGACGAUCCCUAGCUGGUCUGAGAGGAUGACCAGCCACACUGGAACUGAGACACGGUCCAGACUCCUACGGGAGGCAGCAGUGGGGAAUAUUGCACAAUGGGCGCAAGCCGGAUGCAGCCAUGCCGCGUGUAUGAAGAAGGCCUUCGGGUUGUAAAGUACUUUCAGCGGGGAGGCGUUACCCGCAGAAGAAGCCCCGGCUAACUCCGUGCCAGCAGCCGCGGUAAUAC
rnacentral:rRNA from 1 species